GGCUAAAGCCUGAACAGGUGGAGUGGCUAACCAAGGAGUUCUCCAUCUAUAUGACAAAGGACGGCCGCAUUUCUGUGGCAGGGGUCACCUCCGGCAACGUGGGCUACCUUGCCCAUGCCAUUCACCAGGUCACCAAGUAAUGUACCUGGUGCAAGGAAACAGAGACGACCUUUCUGUCUUCAGCCUCUGCUAUUGGGAGCUUCACACAGAGGAUGAGAGAGAGCGGAUGGUGAUAAAACUCUGCAAAGACAAUGUCUAGCACUUAUAUCUCCAGUAACUCCUGUCAAGGUUUAUUGUUGCUUGUUCAUCAUUGCAGUCCUGACUACAAGUGUGAUUGCACUUUCUAUUGUUUUGUCAGAAUUUCCUGAAAAGAUACAAAGGCCCUUCUGACCAUUGGAUUGGCCUUAGAAGAGAAUCAUCCCAUCGCAUUUGGAAAUGGACAGACAACAUGGAAUAUAAUAACAUGCUUGCUAUCAGAGGAAGUGGAGAAUGUGCCUUCCUGAAUGACAAUGGAGUCAACAGUGGCAGAAUCUACAUGAACAGAAAAUGGAUUUGUAGCAAGCCAAACAAUUAUGUCUACAGUUGCCAGUUAUGUCCCCACUGGGAUACUACCUAGUAGAGCUGUGAGAAGAGGGCCACCAUCCUCCAGACUCCAGAAUGGUGGAAUCAGCAGCAGCUUCCACCAUGCCCCUGGAAAAACUGCAAGUAACAGACCUGCACAUGUAUCCCCUACAUCUAAAAUAAAAGUUGGAAAAAAUGGAACUUUGAUGUUAAGAUGCACUGAUACAAAACUUAAAUUUUGGUCUCCUACAUUAAAACAAUAUGAGUCUCUUAAAAUAUUGAUUUGUUCUUAGUAAGAUUACAAGAGGCUUUGAUUUUUAAUUCUGCAAUGUUUCCUUAACAGCCAUUCUGAAUUACAAACUAAUUCCUAUUUCUGCCACAUUCCUUCCUGAGAACUGUCUAGUCCUGGUUUGGGAUUUAUCUUAAAGGUCUAGAAAGGCAACAUUUUACUUCAGCAAAACUUGAUUCUAUAUUGUUGUUUUUUCUUAAUGUGUCAAAAUUGUUUUGUUACUAGGAUUUCCUAUGUUGUUAUUAAAUGUAUUCCCCUGAUCAAGGUCACUGGCCUAGAAAACAAAGAUUCUGUGUUUUACCAAGAUAAUUCCCAGUGCUUCAUGGUGUCUUUAUUAGGCUUUGACUGCUUAGGGAAACUGAGCCUUAAAAGGGUAAAAGUUUUUCCAUCCAUGUAACUUUCUGAGGUCUUUAGGUUGUCACUCUGAUUAAAUGAGUAGUAUUCUUAGCAGUGACUUAUUAUCUGUUGAAGGAAGUAUUUUAAGCUUUUUGACAUCUUUGGCAGGUUUCUCUAGAAUCCAAAUCCUAAAUUAAGCCUUUUGGCCUAAAAAUGACUGGGAUUUUUCCAGGUGGACCCCCUAGAUAUGCUCCUCCAAAGGCUUGUCUUUCUUGUAGAGUUAUUAAAUGAUUAGGCUUAUUUGGCAAAUACUGCUAGAAGCAUUGUCAAAUAAGAAAUGGUGUUUUACCUUUCUUUAAGCUGUGUUUGUGUAAGUUCAUCAUUUAUAGAAAUGUGAAAUUUUAUGAGAUUCCUAAGAUACUGACAUGCUGAGAUACCUGUAAUAAUUGCAAUUUUUAUGUUGGAUGAUUGUAUGCCACAGAAGCACUUAAAUUUCCUGGUUAAUUGGUAACGUUAAUCAGAUCUUUACCUAUGGCUGUUCUGGGUUUUUGUCAUUCACAGUUAUUAUUUUAAUUUCUUCUUUGGAAGCGUUCGCAAUCAGCUAUAGUCCAAAAUUGCUAAUUAAGAUCAAGCAAAACAAAAUUAAUUACGUAAAAUUAAUUUAUAAGGAUGUUUUUAUGACGUAAAUGUUUUAUUUUCCAGAGCCAAGGAAAUUUUCUGUCACAAGCUAUCUACCGUUUGCAAUAAUUUGAUAAAUAAUCCUUUGUGAACAA
rnacentral:lncRNA from 1 species